GGUUUUUCGUUUUUCACUUUUAGAGAUGCAGUUGUCGGCUGUAAAGAAGGAAAUUAUUUUUAAUAGUAUUUAUCGCUUAUAAUAAACACGCUUAUAAGAAAACCUCGCUUAAAAGAAACUCGUACAAAAGCACCUUGUACUUUCCCAUAUAUUUUAAUGUUGCAUUAUGUGUUUAUAAGAAACACGUUUAUAAGAAAAACACUGAUAUAAGAAACAUUUUUCAAACCACGAACUUUCUUGUUCACACGUAAAGUUGGUUGGAUAUAAGAAACUUUCAAAAAAAUCACGAAUUUAAAAAAAAUAUGAACAGACCCUUAAGAAAAAUUCAAAGCACCCUGUGCUUUGAUGUCAUUUGACUCAAAUGUCAUUUGAGUUUGACAUUUAAUAUUUGAAGAGAGUUACAGUCAUAAACAAAAAAUGCCAAGACUGGAAAAUUUCGUACGUCUUUCCCCCCAAAACCCUUUUGUGUACAGUGUUGUCUGUGAAUAUAUGUGAAAGCCACCACGUUGGUAAAUGACGUUAACACGCACACAUUUAUAGAUUCACGACAUUCACCACACAUCGGACACGAACACAACGAUAGGUUCACGACAUUCACCACACCUCGCAGCUUGUAGGCAAACGUCAGUUGACCGCUGAGUUUCCAGUCUUGGUAUUUUUUGUUUAUGGUUACAGUCAUAAACAAAAAAUACCAAGACUGGAAACUUUCGUACGUCUUUCCCCCCAAAACCCUGUUGUGUACCGUGUUGUCUGUGAAUAUAUGUGAAAGCCACCACGUUGGUAAAUGACGUUAACACGCACACAUUUAUAGAUUCACGACAUUCAACACACAUCGAACACGAACACAACGAUAAGUUCACGACAUUCACCACACCUCGCAGCUUGUAGGCAAACGUCAGUUGACCGCCGAGUUUCCAGUCUUGGUAUUUUUUGUUUAUGGUUACAGUUCAGUUCAAUUUAUUGUUUGUUGUGUUUGUUUUUUUUUCUGUCUCUGCUUAAAAUGUCGCGAAAUAAUAUUUCACUUAAAACGAAAUUAAUAAUCCUUGAGGAAAUGAAAUCGGGUAAAAAUAGAAAAGAAAUUUGUGAAAAAUAUAAAAUAUCUGAAAGCACAUUGUCUAAAAUUGUGAAGAACGAAAAACAGUUCGAAGAUAAAAAAUACAAGUGCAAGAAUUUAAACCGCAAAAGAAACAGAAAUGAACUCGUUGUGCCAGAGCUCUUAGAAAAAUAUGAUGUGGAAAACAUUUAUAACGCAGAUCAGACUGGAUUGUUCUUUAAGGCUCUUCCUACUGUGACCCAUGCCGAAAAUGGCCAUGAUAUCCAAGCGCCAAAAGUACCUAAAGAUAGAAUAACAUUACUCUUCAUAUGUAAUGCAACCGGGACAGACAAAUUUGUGUUUUCUAUUGGAAAAUAUAAGCAACCCAGAUGUUUCAGAAACCAAACAAUUCCAGUCCCUUACAAAUUUAAUAAAAAGGGUUGGAUGACAAGUACUCUUUGGAUUGAAAUAAUCAAAGAGCUUGAUGACGUUAUGAAAAAGAAAAAAAUUCUACUGUUAGCUGAUAAUGCCUCAUGCCACAAAUUGGAUUUUGAACCAAACAAAUAUUGAGAUCAAAUUUUUGCCACCUAACACAACGAGUCUUAUACAACCCUUGGACCAAGGGAUCAUCCACUCAUUCAAAUCCCACUACAGAAAGUGUUUGGUUAGGAAGCAAAUUCUAGCUUUUGAAGUCGGUGAUAUGAAAAGUUUCUUACGAGAAUUAUUAAUUUAUUAAAUGCUUUGAAAAUUGUAAAACGGUCGUGGUGGCUUGUUACCCCACAAACCAUACAAAAUGGAUUUAAAAAGGCUGGAAUUUUGAAAAGAAGAGAAGACCAAGAUGUAAUUCAAUGUGAUGAACCGGAACCAGAGUUAUUUAAUUUCGAUGAAAAUUUAGAAGGUGCAGAAAAUGAAAAUUGUUUUGGAGAGUUGGACGAUACCGAAAUUUUGAAUGAAGUACGAGAUGGUGAUGUUGAAAGAACUGACCAGCAAAUCGAAGACGAACAAGAAAAUGAGCAAAUACCAUUGCCAAAACCAACUAGAAGUGUAGCUUGUUAUUCAAAAUUCUAUAAAAUAAGACUAAAGUUAGCGGACGAAAGUAGAAAAAUUUUAUAUUUUUUUGAUGCCCAAAAUUGUUGCUAAUUAAAUGCUAAUUUGUUGCGCAAAAAUUAGUUUUGGAUAGUGAUGAUGAUAUCAUUCAUAACAUCGAAGAUAUUUUUAUCAAAAGCGUGAAGAAGUUUUGAUUCAAACAACAAUCAAUGACUAUUUUGAAGAGCUAUACCUAAGCUUAAAUAAGAAAAUGUUACCUUAUUAAUUUGUUUUGAUGAAUAGGUAGGUACCUACAUACUGAAGUAGAAAAAGUAUCUUUAAUUAAUGCGCUGUGAAUUUUUUGUUUUUGUUUUUUGUUAAAUAAAAUAAAUUUAUUUAUUGAUUACCUAAUGACCUUUAAGGCCGUGUGUUUAUUUGUUACAUAAUUGGAUUAAAUAUUUAGGCGAGGAUAAGUUUUUGGUACUAUUGGUAAGGUAUAUUUGUAUAAGAAACUUGUUUCUUAUAUCCGUUCUAAGAAUAUAAGAAACACUCGGUUAUAAGAAACAAAUAUUGUGCAAUUUUUGAGUUUCUUAUAAGCGUUAUGUACUUUAUUAUAAUAAUAACACAGUUUGAUGAAUGGCAACAUUCUCAUUGAUAGUGAGUCUGAAGAGCUUCCAGUCUGAAUAGCCACCAGUGAAUGAAGUCUUCCUCUUGCUUGGUAUGCUGUUUUGGUUUUACACUGAUAGUCGCCGUCAUUGACGGUCGGAUUAGUUUUCGCAGACCAGGACUAGACGUCCAUUACUUUGGUGGACUCUUUGUUGCGGAAUCAAAAAAAAUGUAUCUCAUUAAUUGUAGCUAAUUAAAUGCUAAUUUGUUGCGCAAACCGCAAACCAAAAAUUUGUAGCUCCCAGUUUUUGAAUUAUUGAAUUUCCCGCUAAAAUAAGUCUGAAGCUAGCGGAAAAAAUCUGAAAUGAUUGAAAUUAAUGAGUUUAGUUGACCUCCAAAUUUGUAGCUUUUUAAAUGCUUUUCAAUUAUGUACAUAAACUUGGUUUUUGUAGCUUGAACAGUUUUUUUUUAGUUAUUCAAAAUUCCGCUAAAAUAAGACUCAAUUUCAUAUGUAACGGUCAAAAUUUUCAAAAAAGUUGAAUUUUUAAAUUCUUUUCUUUUCUAGAAAUUGUAGCUUUGCAAAACAAAAUUUGCUGCGCAAAAAUUAAUUUUGUAGCUGUCCGUGAAAUGAAGCUCAAUUUGCUGACUUCAUUUAGAUUUGGUAAAAUGGCAGAGAAAAGUUUUGUAUAUUAACCUGACUUUGGGGAACAUUCUAUGAACAGCUCGAAGAUUACCCAGUUGAUUGAACUCCUCUUGUUCGUUUUCGAUCUCAUGGAGUGGAUGACUGCAGCAAGCGUUGGUAUAAGUGUUGGGAUCUAACAGAAUACUUUGUUGAGUUUUGAAAAGUUCAUGAAAUAAAACAAAAUUAUACCUUAUACAAAAUCUUCGCUGUACUAGCAACUCUCCUUUCGUAUUGCUGCCUUUCUUUCAGGAACAGGGAGGGGCACUGGGAUAACUGUUUAAUCUGAAAGUGAACUAAAUAAAGA